rnacentral:rRNA from 1 species
GGUCAAGCUACAAAGGGCGCAUGGUGAAUGCCUUGGCAUCAGGAGCCGAUGAAGGACGUGAUAAGCUGCGAUAAGCUUCGGGUAGGCGCACAUAGCCUGAGAUCCGAAGAUCUCCGAAUGAGGAAACUCACAUGGGAAACCCCAUGUAUCAUUAAGUGAAUACAUAGCUUAAUGAAGGUAACCCAGGGAACUGAAACAUCUAAGUACCUGGAGGAAGAGAAAGAAAAAUCGAUUUUCUUAGUAGCGGCGAGCGAAAGGGAAAGAGCCCAAACCGGAAACUUGUUUCCGGGGUUGUGGACAUAACAUAAAAGUGGAGGCUAUUGUAACUGAAGAGAACUGGAAAGUUCCACCGUAGAAGGUAAUAGUCCUGUAAGUGAAACGAGAAGACCACGAGUUAUGAUCCAGAGUACCACGAGACACGUGAAACCUUGUGGGAAGCAGGGAGGACCACCUCCCAAGGCUAAAUACUACCUGAUGACCGAUAGUGAAGCAGUACCGUGAGGGAAAGGUGAAAAGAACCCCGGGAGGGGAGUGAAAUAGAACCUGAAACCGUGUGCCUACAACCGCUCAGAGCCCCUUAUGAGGGUGAUGAGGUGCUUUUUGUAGAACGAGCCAACGAGUUACGGUAUGUAGCAAGGUUAAGUACUUAAGGUACGGAGCCGAAGGGAAACCGAGUCUGAAUAGGGCGACUAGUUGCAUGCCGUAGACCCGAAACCGGGUGACCUAUCCAUGGCCAGGUUGAAGCGAGGGUAAAACCUCGUGGAGGACCGAACCACGUUGCUGUUGAAAAAGCAUGGGAUGAGCUGUGGAUAGCGGAGAAAUUCCAAUCGAACCCGGAGAUAGCUGGUUCUCUCCGAAAUAGCUUUAGGGCUAGCGUCGAGUAUGAGUAGUGGAGGUAGAGCACUGAAUGGGCUAGGGGGCAUAGCGCUUACCGAACCUUAUCAAACUCCGAAUGCCACAUACUUUGAGCUCGGCAGUCAGACUACGAAUGAUAAGAUCCGUGGUCAAAAGGGAAACAGCCCAGAUCGUCAGCUAAGGUCCCAAAGUGUAAGUUAAGUGGGAAAGGAUGUGAGAUUUCUAAGACAACUAGGAUGUUGGCUUAGAAGCAGCCAUUCAUUAAAAGAGUGCGUAAUAGCUCACUAGUCGAGAGAUCUUGCGCCGAAAAUGUAACGGGGCUAAACUUACCACCGAAGCUACGGGCUUGAACUUAGUUCAAGCGGUAGGAGAGCGUCGUAACCGGGCUGAAGUCGUACCGUAAGGAGCGGUGGACUGGUUACGAGUGAGAAUGUUGGCAUCAGUAGCGAGAUGUGGGUGAGAAUCCCACAGGCCGAAAACCUAAGGUUUCCUCAGGAAGGUUCGUCCGCUGAGGGUUAGUCGGGACCUAAGCCGAGGCCGAAAGGCGUAGGUGAUGGACAACUGGUUGAUAUUCCAGUACCACUACCAUCGUUAUUAUCGAUGGCGUGACGCAGGAGGAUAGUGUGUGCUAGCUAUUGGAUGCUAGUCUAAGCGUUUAGGCAGUGAGAGUAGGCAAAUCCGCUCUCAUAAUGCUGAGGCGUGAUGGGGAAGGUUCUACGGAACCGAAGUACAUGAUUCCACGCUGCCAAGAAAAGCGUCUAGAGAGAGAAGUAGUGCCCGUACCGCAAACCGACACAGGUAGGUGAGGAGAGAAUCCUAAGGCCGGCGGAAGAAUUACAGUUAAGGAACUCGGCAAAUUGACCCCGUAAGUUCGCGAGAAGGGGUGCCUACGAGAGUAGGCCGCAGAGAAUAGGCCCAAGCAACUGUUUAGCAAAAACACAGGUCUCUGCUAAAGCGUAAGCUGAUGUAUAGGGGCUGACGCCUGCCCGGUGCUGGAAGGUUAAGGGGAACACUUAGCGCAAGCGAAGGUGUGAACUUAAGCCCCAGUAAACGGCGGCCGUAACUAUAACGGUCCUAAGGUAGCGAAAUUCCUUGUCAGGUAAGUUCUGACCCGCACGAAUGGCGUAAUGACUUGGGCACUGUCUCAACUGUAAAUCCGGCGAAGUUGUAGUGCGAGUGAAGAUGCUCGCUACCCGCGAUUGGACGGAAAGACCCCGUAGAGCUUUACUGUAGCUUAGCAUUGAGUUUUGGUAUUGUCUGUACAGGAUAGGUGGGAGACUAGGAAACCAGGGCGUCAGCCUUGGUGGAGUCAACCUUGGGAUACCACCCUGACAGUACUGAAAUUCUAACUGGCGGCCAUGAAUCUGGUCACAGGACAUUGUUAGGUGGGCAGUUUGACUGGGGCGGUCGCCUCCUAAAAAGUAACGGAGGCGCCCAAAGGUUCCCUCAGAACGGUCGGAAAUCGUUCGAAGAGUGCAAAGGCAGAAGGGAGCCUGACUGCGACACCCACAAGUGGAGCAGGGACGAAAGUCGGGCUUAGUGAUCCGGUGGUACCUCGUGGGAGGGCCAUCGCUCAACGGAUAAAAGCUGGUCCCAAGGGUUGGGCUGUUCGCCCAUUAAAGCGGCACGCGAGCUGGGUUCAGAACGUCGUGAGACAGUUCGGUCCCUAUCCGUCGCGGGCGUAGGAAAUUUGAGAGGAGCUGUCCUUAGUACGAGAGGACCGGGAUGGACUGACCUCUGGUGUACCAGUUGUUCCGCCAGGAGCACAGCUGGGUAGCUAAGUCGGGAAUGGAUAAACGCUGAAAGCAUCUAAGCGUGAAGCCAACCUCAAGAUGAGAUUUCCCAUAGCGUAAGCUAGUAAGAUCCCUUGAAGAACACAAGGUUGAUAGGUCGGGGGUGUAAGCAUGGUAACAUGUUCAGCUGACCGAUACUAAUAGAUCGAGGGCUUGACCAA